AAUUUUUUAAGAUCAAUGACUACUAAAUCUUUAAGGUAACAGACUACUAAUUUUUUUAAGGUCAGAGACCACCAAUUUUUUUGAGGUAAGAGACCACCAAUUUUUUUUUAGGUAAGAGACCACCAAAUUUUUAAGGUCAGAGACUACCAAUUUUUUAAGGUUAAU